UUAAAGAGUUUAUUAUUUAGACUAAUAUUUUGUAUCAAUUGCAUAAAAUAAGUAAAAUUAAUAGAAAAAAUUGUGUUAAGUUUGAAGAUGUUCAUUGUAUGGGUUCAAAAACUCUCCCAAAGCUUAUUGAUGAGAAGGUUUAUUUCUAUUUGUAUUUUCAUGACUUUAAUUUGAAUUAAAAAAAUAAAAUGUAUUUAACUUGUUUGUUUGGUUGUAGAUAAAAAA
rnacentral:lncRNA from 1 species